UACGUAGGUGGCGAGCGUUGUCCGGAAUUACUGGGCGUAAAGGGCGUGUAGGCGGCUUUUUAAGUCAGACGUGAAAUCCCUGGGCUUAACCCAGGACCUGCGUUUGAAACUGGAAGGCUUGAGGACCGGAGAGGGUAGUGGAAUUCCCAGUGUAGCGGUGAAAUGCGUAGAUAUUGGGAGGAACACCAGUGGCGAAGGCGACUGCCUGGACGGCACCUGACGCUGAGGCGCGAAAGCCAGGGGAGCAAACGGG
rnacentral:rRNA from 1 species